AUCUGAGCUCUGCUCCCUAAUCAGCUGUUGUAAUGAAGCGGACGCCUCAGUCUACGGUUCCGAGGUCCCUGCUGCUUCCAGCCUCAGGAGGGCAGAGGUCAGUGGCCCCGCAGCCCCCAACACCUUUCCAGGACCAGUCUGUGCCUCUACAAAUAACAGGGGCGCUACCGAGGGCUCACCAAACUGGAAAGUUCUGCAAGUCUGUGAAUGCUGGAGCCCAUGUUGGAGUGUGGGAACCCCGGGGGUUUCGAUCCCGUCUUCCCGGCGAGCCCUCAAAGCUGGCGACCAGUGUGCUUCCGGCGGGCAGACGUCAUUCCCCUGUCGGCAGAGGACAUUCUGGCUGGAGAGGGGCUCACGCUGACACCAGCUGCUUGGGUGAUGGAGGAGGGACACCGGGCCGUCUGCCGACUUCAGUCACGUGCCACCGAGUCCACGAAUGCCAAGUCCUGGUCCGCUGCCUCUGGUUGUGGAGCCUGGGUCGCCCUUCCUCAGUCUCCCCAUCUGUAAAAUGGGUAGACCAGCAGUGCCCCUCCGUCGGAUGGUGGGGAUUAACUGAGGCAAUAUUUGCGAAGAACCCAGGGACACGGAAGGGGGCACUCUGCCUCUAUUUACCAGAUAAAACAAAAGGUAGCCUCCGCUGGAGGAGAGACCAGACCCAGACCCAGAGAGUGAGUCACCCAGAGUUGGGGUACCUUUCACACAAUCCAGGACCCUGCCCCGGUCCUGGCUGGGGAAGAGCGAGGGUCCCCUUCCCGUCCAGCCUCAGCGUCAUGAGACCCGAGUUCCGUGUUUGGAUUACAGACGUGCGAGGAAUCUGGUCAACCGAGUGGUGCCGGUCAUCAGGCUCAGUGCUACGGGGCAGCUGGUGUGGCCACCGCAGGACACACACCUGUGGACCCAGCCUUGGGUCUCCCCCUCAUCUGGGUCAUGCAGCUUGAACCAGAGCUGGGGACGGAGCACGAUUUGCUCACCUAGCAGGGCCCUGCAGGAGUCACGCUGGGGCGCGAGCCAUAGCUGCGGGGUGCCUGAACUAUUGUUUACUUGAUUUAAAAUUAAAUCUAAAGUAAAUACGCCCCAAAUGUGAAAUCCGCAGUUACUAAUAAUUUUUCUUAACUCAAGCCUCAUUUUGCUUGAAUACAUUUCCUUGAGAGGAAAUCGUAUAUAGAGACAGAAAACCGCGCCCCUUGUGAGAAGCGCAAAGUCAUCUUAGAAAUACGCA
rnacentral:lncRNA from 1 species